rnacentral:rRNA from 1 species
AUUGAACGCUGGCGGCAGGCCUAACACAUGCAAGUCGAGCGGUUGAGGGGAGCUUGCUCCCUGAUUCAGCGGCGGACGGGUGAGUAAUGCCUAGGAAUCUGCCUAUUAGUGGGGGACAACGUUUCGAAAGGAACGCUAAUACCGCAUACGUCCUACGGGAGAAAGUAGGGGACCUUCGGGCCUUGCGCUAAUAGAUGAGCCUAGGUCGGAUUAGCUUGUUGGUGAGGUAAUGGCUCACCAAGGCGACGAUCCGUGACUGGUCUGAGAGGAUGAUCAGUCACACUGGAACUGAGACACGGUCAAGACGCCUACGGGAGGCAGCAUAGGGGAAGAUUGGACAAUGGGCGAAAGCCUGAGCCAGCCAUGCCGCGUGUGUGAAGAAGGUCUUCGGAUUGUAAAGCACUUUAGGUUGGGAGGAAGAGUUGUAGAUUAAUACUCUGCAAUUUUGACGUUACCGACAGAAUAAGCACCGGCUAACUCUGUGCCAGCCGCCGCCGUAA